rnacentral:rRNA from 1 species
CCUACGGGUGGCAGCAGUGGGGAAUAUUGCACAAUGGGGGAAACCCUGAUGCAGCGACGCCGCGUGAGUGAAGAAGUAUUUCGGUACGUAAAGCUUUAUUAGUAGGGAAGAAAAUGACGGUACCUGACUAAGAAGCCCCGGCUAACUACGUGCCAGCAGCCGCGGGAAUACGCAGGGGGCAAGCGUUAUCCGGAUUUACUGGGUGUAAAGGGAGCGUAGGCGGUAGCGCAAGUCUGGAGUGAAAUCCUAUGGCUUAACCAUGGAACUGCUUUGGAAACUGUGCAGCUAGAGUGCAGGAGAGGUAAGCGGAAUUCGUGGUGUAGCGGUGAAAUGCGUAGAUAUUAGGAGGAACACCAGUGGCGAAGGCGGCUUACUGGACUGUAACUGACGUUGAGGCUCGAAAGCGUGGGGAGCAAACAGGAUUAGAUACCCCUGUAGUC